rfam:Cicer arietinum chromosome Ca7, whole genome shotgun sequence.
CAACUUUGUGGUGAGUACAAAAAGAACUAUUCUUUCGCCUUUUACUAAAGAAUACUGUGUAUUUAUCACAUAAUGAGGUAUAUGUCAAAUUUUUGAAGGGUUUCUUCUUUAUAAAAGAAGU